rnacentral:tRNA from 1 species
GAUCCAGUAGCUCAGCCGGCAGAGCGCCAGCGCGACGAGCUGGAGGCCGUGGGAUCGAAGCCCACCUGGAUCA